rnacentral:pre_miRNA from 1 species
AACAUACUCCCUCCGUCCCAAAAUUCUUGUCUUAGAUUUGUCUAAAUACGGAUGUAUCAAGUCACGUUUUAGUAUUAGAUACAUCCGUAUCUAGACAAAUUUAAGACAAAAAUUUUGGGACGAAGGGAGUACCUU